ACCAGUCCAUCUCCUCCCAGUUUAUCCCAGUCCGAUCUAUUUCACCCCAUCCCAGUUCCUCCCAGUCCGUCCCAGUUUAACCCAGUCCAUCUCAUCCCAGUUCCCUCCUGUACAUCCCUAUCUAACCUAUUCCAUCCCAUCCCAGUCCAUCCCAGUUCCUCCCAGUCCAUCCCAGUUCCUCCCAGUUUGGCCCAAUCCAACACAUCCCAGUUCCUCCCAGUCCAUCCCAAUUCCUCCCAGUCCAUCCCAUCCCAUUUCAUCCCAGUUUAUCCUAUUCCCUCCCAGUCCAUCCCAGUUUGGCCCAGUCCAUCCCAUCCCAGUUCCCCCCAGUAUAUCCCCAUCCAACCUAUCCCAUCCCAGUUCCUCCCAGUUUGGCCCAGUCCAACCCCUCCCAGUCUCUCCCAGACCAUCCCAGUUCCUCCCAGUUUGGCCCAGUCCAAUCCAUCCCAGUCCUUCCCAGUCCAGUCCAUCCCAGUUCCUCCCAGUUUAACCCAGUCCAUCUCCUCCCAGUUCCUCCCAGUCCAACCUAUUUCAUCCCAUCCCAGUACCUCCCAGUUCCUCCCAGUCCAUCCCAGUUUAUCCCAGUCCAACCUAUUUCAUGCCAUCCCACUUCCUCCCAGUCCCUCCCAGUUUAACCCAGUCCACCUCCUCCCAAUUCCUCCCAGUCCAACCCAUUCCAUGCCAUCCCAGUUCCUCCCAGUUCUGCCCAGUCCAUCCCAUCCCAGUUCCUCCCAGUCCAUCCCAUCCCAGUUUGGCCCAGUCCAUCUCAUCCCAGUCCAACCUAUUUCAUGCCAUCCCAGUUCCUCCCAGUCCAUCCCAGUUUGCCCAGUCCAUCUCAUUCCAUUUCAUCCCAGUUUAUCCCAUUCCAACCUAUUCCAUCCCAUCCCAGUUCCUCCCAGUCCCUCCCAGUUUAACCCAGUCCAUCUCAUCCCAGUCUCUCCCAGUCCAUCUCCUCCCAGUUCCUCCCAGUCCAACCCAUUCCAUGCCAUCCCAGUUCCUCCCAGUCCAACCCAGUUUAUCCCAGUCCAACCCAUUUCAUCCCAUCCCAGUUCCUCCCAGUCCAUCCCAUCCCAGUUUGACCCAGUCCAUCUCAUCCCAGUCCAACCCAUUCCAUCCCAUCCCAGUUCCUCCCAGUACAUC
rnacentral:lncRNA from 1 species